GGAGAUAUGGCUCAGUGGUUAAGAGCACUAGCUGCUCUUCCAGGGGACCUGGGUUUGGUUCCCAGCAUGUCUA
rnacentral:tRNA from 1 species